AAUGCUGAGAUGAUGACAGACAAUCAGCUUCAGACAUCUUGGAGAAAUUAUCUAUGGAUGAUGACCAUUCACUCAUGUUCUGGAGAAUAGCAAUCCUUGGAGGUGAACUGAGAUAAUGUAACCUGGUCCAAAGUAAUCCAGUGAAUUUCCAUGUCUGAGAGUGGACCUGGAUCUUCCUACUACUGACUGAAAUAUUGUUGUAUAGGAUUUCUACAAGUAUAUGCUGCUCCCAGGACAGUGGGGUCGACAACUUCACUACAUCUGGACAGCAGGUAGAGUGGGGUGGCCCAAAGGGGGGAGGGGAAAUCUGGCAAUUAUCAUGGUUCAGAUUUAAAUUGUCUUGUUAGCUGUUCUGUUUCAAAAGCCUAAAUGCUCUGCAUGUAACAAAAUAUUGUAGCAGUUGCUUUCCUGGGAAUAUGUCUGCAUAUUCCUAGACCUAAAAUAGUUCAAUGGUUCUUCCUUCUGCCCAUAGACAAACACACAAACUGAUUGAUUCUCUGGAUUGGAAUAGUUACUAGGCCUUUCAGAAUCAUGUUUUGCUCUGUUGCAAGUCAUGCCAAUGCAUAAAGUCAAAUGCCUUGUAAUGGCUGUUGAAUAAACAUAGGUGCUAGCAAAGAUUAAUUAUACAAAACAUGUCAUUCAGACUAUUUUAAUCUAGGCUAAAUUUGGAAGCCUGAAUGACAAAUUUGUCUGUUCUUUUGCCCAACUAAUUGCAGUCUGUCUGCCUGUGACUCACUGAAAGAGAAAUCAAUGUUUCUUGAGUUUGACCACAACUCUGGCUGGAACUGGUUCUUCAUUGAGUGCUUGUAUUAAGGAGAGUUAGAAAAUACCUUUAUCAUGCAGUAGCUUUUACUGGCUGACAGUGCUUUUAUAUUUAGCAAGUAAUUUGAGACCAUCUUUGUGAAUCGUGUUAUGUAAAGAGCAAAUAAAGCCAUUUCUCUCUGCUGCCCAUGAAUCAAUACAGACUUGAUAAGAAGCUCAUCCCAAAUAAACAUGAUUUGUUUACUUUAGACAAAAACCUGCAGUGUGAUUAAAAAAAAGAGAGAUCCUCUUGAUCAUAUAACAAGUGAGAUAGGCUGUUGAAAUUUCUCUAAUUAGUAAACCAAUUCCUAGCAUCAGGUUUUAAUUUGUUUGAUUUUAUUGGGCUUAUGCCAACAAAUGUUUCUGAGCAGAUGAUAAUCCUAUCACUCUAUCUUAAUCUAAGUAAAUAAAAUUAUAGUAGCAAAAAUAGUCCCAACUAAUAGUUUUAAAGUACUACAUAGCUUUCCUAUGCAAGGAAUCGCAACCCUGUAGAGUAAUAUACAGAAGGAAUGUCAAUCAUCUCCCUGUCAAAGGUCCUUUGAAAUAACCGAGUUUUAAUUGCUUCUAUAAAUUCUAAUAAUGUUGGAGCACAUCAAUAUAUCCAGAAGGCAGCUUAGAAAGAACAAAAGUAAUAAAUCAGUGCUUAGGAAGAAGAUUACCAGAACCCCCAACAUGGUUUCAACCUCCAAUGUGUAUAAUUUUUCUUUGGAGACAAAACACUAAUUACAAGUGAGUCUUUUUCUGCUUAUAGAUUAUUGAUGUAAUAAACUCUUCCUAUACAUCUGGGCAUGGUGGCUUCAUAAUGUAUUACCUGCCUUUCUUCCAGUUGUAUUCUGGCAAGGAAGCUCCUGUGUAAUAAAAGUAAGGUUGUUUUUGUCUCUGGAUCACAAUGCAGUUCUUGUUAUUGUUCUCCAU